UAAUACGUAGGGUGCGAGCGUUGUCCGGAAUUAUUGGGCGUAAAGGGCUCGUAGGCGGUUUGUCGCGUCGGGAGUGAAAACCAGGUGCUUAACACCUGGCUUGCUUCCGAUACGGGCAGACUAGAGGUAUUCAGGGGAGAACGGAAUUCCUGGUGUAGCGGUGAAAUGCGCAGAUAUCAGGAGGAACACCGGUGGCGAAGGCGGUUCUCUGGGAAUAUCCUGACGCUGAGGAGCGAAAGUGUGGGGAGCGAACAGG
rnacentral:rRNA from 1 species